ACGGCUCCGGAUCCGCGUCUCAUCCUCAAAACACCGACUUUAUUCUGCAGUCUGGGAACACUGAACCGUGGGGAAUGAGGCGCUCGUUUGAGUGCAGGAUCCAUUAUCCACUUGUAAAUAGUUCAUAAACAUCUAAACCGAGCAGCGUUCAAUUCUGAUGUGCGCGUCGGUCAGCGCGUCCAGUCAUCGAUCAUCUGCCCCCGGUGCCACAGACGGUGUCAUAACACGAUAAUGCGGCUUCUUCACACGUUCGGCGGUGAUUCCUCAUAGGAAGCCGACUAAAACCAGAGCGAUGGGAUCCGAUGGGACAACUUGCCAGGCUCAUGAUGAGCGUGAGAGCGUCCCGAGAGCAGUCCGGCCGGUAGCGCACCGGGACGCGGACGACACAGCAGCCACGAGGCGCGGACUUUUACGCACGGGAUCAGACACUCACCGGGCUGACUGGUCGGGCUGCAGUUCGCUAUUUACCUAGUUUAUUGGGAACAACUGGCAGUCUGUGAAGUCAAACUGAGGUCAAACUUUUAGCAGCCCCGCAGCUCUGCGCAAACAUGUUGGGAUCUGCAAAGAAGGCCACCGACUCUCUCUGGUUUGUGUCACUGCUUCAGCGCACAGGAAGACCAGCUGCAAAGUUUUCACAGCUUAUCUAAUUAUAUGAAACUACUACUACUAUGUUAUCACCUGUCAGGACCUCCAGCAGCAUUCAUUAAGGCAAUUUAGGAGCCGCGAGCUGCGCCUGGAAACGAUUCUCUCUGAAAUAAUGCGCACAAGGAUUUCUACAAGUAAAUGAUUUCUCCUGCUACGGAGUUACAGGUUGGUUUGACAACCUAAAUUAGAUGGUAAUAUGCAGGUAUAUUUCUGUUUUUCAUGUGAAAAACACGAGUUACACUACAGUAAUCUAUCAUUAUUAAGACAUUGUAAAAUGCGUAGAGUAAUUUAUUCUAAAGAACGAUUGGUGCAACAUUUGUUAAGGUUUUUCAACUUUAUUAUAGAGAAAUAAUACUAUAGUGUAAGAUAAGAUACCACCCAAAAAGUCAUGGAAAAUAGCCGUUAUGGCUGAGUUUUGGUAUAUUAAAAUAUUCUAACAUAUCGCAACAUUAAUUUCAGUGCUCGAAAUUCAUGAUCUUUUUUAAUUCAUCAAGAGUUCGUGUUUCCUCUGGGAGUAUUCCCUCCUGCUGGAUCCCGCAGUUUGGCUCAAAUGUUUGUCUGAGCUGCUCUCGCCUCCCUGGCAAGUCAACGCUUAAUCAUUUGCGCCUUCUACCGGACGAAUUGGGAACUGCACCUCAUCAUGACGACGAUCCCUGCUCAGAACAUUGAGAUAAAAUGUAAAGGCUGAGCUGCUACGAUAUUAAUCCACUGUUAAUCUUAAUGUGUGCAUCUUUUAUAUAUCUUAAAUCAUCAUUUAGAUUUAACAUACUGAAAAAAUACGUGAUUGUUGAAUAUACUGUUUGUUUGUGUUGCCUUUGACUGCAGUUGUCAAGUACUUAACUGUUUGUUUCUUUUAUUUUAAGCAGGAAUUAAAGUAUUUAUGUUACAAUAACUACAGCAAAACUUGAUUAUUUACUUUUUAAAUGAAAUUAAAAAAAGAUUUCACUUUAUCUGGUGUGGGAAAAAAGGUCUUGAAUAGAACUGUAAGUAUUAA